rnacentral:rRNA from 1 species
CCUACGGGAGGCAGCAGUGAGGAAUAUUGGUCAAUGGACGAGAGUCUGAACCAGCCAAGUGGCGUGAAGGAUGACUGCCCUAUGGGUUGUAAACUUCUUUUAUAUGGGAAUAAAACGUUCCACGUGUGGGAUUUUGUAUGUACCAUAUGAAUAAGGAUCGGCUAACUCCGUGCCAGCAGCCGCGGUAAUACGGAGGAUCCGAGCGUUAUCCGGAUUUAUUGGGUUUAAAGGGAGCGUAGGUGGAUUGUUAAGUCAGUUGUGAAAGUUUGCGGCUCAACCGUAAAAUUGCAGUUGAAACUGGCAGUCUUGAGUACAGUAGAGGUGGGCGGAAUUCGUGGUGUAGCGGUGAAAUGCUUAGAUAUCACGAAGAACUCCGAUUGCGAAGGCAGUUCACUGGACUGCAACUGACACUGAGGCUCGAAAGUGUGGGUAUCAAACAGGAUUAGAUACCCCUGUAGUC